CCCUUAGAUGUUCUGGGCCGCACGCGCGCUACACUGAUGCAUUCAACGAGUUUCUUCCUGGUCCGAGAGGAAUGGGUAACCUUUUGAAAGUGCAUCGUGAUAGGGAUAGACUAUUGCAAUUAUUGGUCUUCAACGAGGAAUGCCUAGUAAGCGCAAGUCAUCAGCUUGCGUUGAUUACGUCCCUGCCCUUUGUACACACCGCCCGUCGCUCCUACCGAUUGAAUGGUCCGGUGAAGCGUUCGGACCGUGGCCUUUGGACGGUUCGCCGUCUGUUGGCUGCGGGAAGUUCGUUAAACCUUAUCAUUUAGAGGAAGGAGAAGUCGUAACA
rnacentral:rRNA from 1 species